rnacentral:lncRNA from 1 species
GAAUCCAAAAAUAGAAUAAGAAAAUACAAAUCUCAAAUUAUUGAAUAGGUUUCCUUUCAACAUUGUGUAGCUAAAAGAAAACUAAUAAGCAUAUUUUUAAAAAUAAUGGAUAUCAAACUCUUACAAAACAACAUUUUUGUCAGCUAAUCGUAAAUGAAUGAGAAACAUAUGGAUUAAGUUUCCAUCAAAAACCCACACAUUUAAAAAUUCAAGUAAAACUUGUUUGGCAGAAAUCUUUUUGCAUUUUGCCAAUUUCAAAAUAUUUGAAAAUAAUUUGAGUGUUUUUAACAUAAAAAGUCAUAAGAUCCUCGUUUUUUAUAAAUUAUAAAAAAGAUGAAAAAAAUCAUGAAGUGAUUUCUACAGCAAUAAUUAUCAUGCAAAAAUUAUUGUCAUCUUGAUAGCCCCAUGGAUUAUUUCAAAUGUAAUUACCUGAAGGAAAAGAACAGCAUGUUCUAAAAAUCAACAGCAUGUUGGAAAACUUAGGAAAAUAUUAUGAACUAAAGAUAUGAAACUGUGUUGCUCACUUUCAAAUAUAAAAUGGGCAGGAUCUUCCAAGUAAAAAUACACUUCAUAUUACCAGUGGCAUGCUUUGAGGUUAGUAUAAGAGAAUACAAUGUACUGUAUAUUGUUGGUUUCAAAUAGUAGCUAAACAAUUUGACUUUAGCUC